AGUGAACGCUGGCGGUAGGCCUAACACAUGCAAGUCGAACGGUAGCACAGUAAGAGCUUGCUCUUACGGGUGGCGAGUGGCGGACGGGUGAGGAAUACAUCGGAAUCUACUUUUUCGUGGGGGAUAACGUAGGGAAACUUACGCUAAUACCGCAUACGACCUACGGGUGAAAGCAGGGGAUCUUCGGACCUUGCGCGAUUGAAUGAGCCGAUGUCGGAUUAGCUAGUUGGCGGGGUAAAGGCCCACCAAGGCGACGAUCCGUAGCUGGUCUGAGAGGAUGAUCAGCCACACUGGAACUGAGACACGGUCCAGACUCCUACGGGAGGCAGCAGUGGGGAAUAUUGGACAAUGGGCGCAAGCCUGAUCCAGCCAUACCGCGUGGGUGAAGAAGGCCUUCGGGUUGUAAAGCCCUUUUGUUGGGAAAGAAAAGCAGCAGGUUAAUACCCCGCCGUUCUGACGGUACCCAAAGAAUAAGCACCGGCUAACUUCGUG
rnacentral:rRNA from 1 species